UAAGGAAUAUUGCGCAAUGGGCGAAAGCCUGACGCAGCGACGCCGCGUGGGGGAUGAAGGUCUUCGGAUUGUAAACCCCUUUCGGGAGGGAAGAUGGAAUGGGGUAACCCAUUCGGACGGUACCUCCAGAAGCAGCCACGGCUAACUUCGUGCCAGCAGCCGCGGUAAUACGAAGGUGGCAAGCGUUGUUCGGAUUUACUGGGCGUACAGGGAGCGUAGGCGGUUCGGUAAGCCCUCUGUGAAAUCUCCAGGCUUAACCUGGAACAGUCGGAGGGGACUGCCGGGCUAGAGGACGGGAGAGGAGCGCGGAAUUCCCGGUGUAGCGGUGAAAUGCGUAGAGAUCGGGAGGAAGGCCGGUGGCGAAGGCGGCGCUCUGGAACGUUUCUGACGCUGAGGCUCGAAAGCGUGGGGAGCAAACAGGAUUAGAUACCCCCGUAGUCC
rnacentral:rRNA from 1 species